rnacentral:tRNA from 3 species
GCCGGGGUGGUGGAAUUGGCAGACACGCAUGGUUGAGGUCCAUGUGGGAGUUUUUCCCUUGCGGGUUCAAGUCCCGCCUCCGGCACCA